AUAUAGACCUCUCUAGAGGUCACCAAAUUAUUCUUAAAAAUAAGA
rfam:Pongo abelii chromosome 7.